rnacentral:rRNA from 1 species
UGAGGAAUAUUGCACAAUGGGCGCAAGCCUGAUGCAGCGACGCCGCGUGGGUGAAGACGGUUUUCGGACUGUAAAGCCCUUUUCUGCGUGACGAGAGUGGACGGUAGCGCAGGAAUAAGUCUCGGCUAACUACGUGCCAGCAGCCGCGGUAAAACGUAGGAGGCGAGCGUUAUCCGGAGUUACUGGGCGUAAAGCGCGUGCAGGCGGAAGCGUAAGUUACUUAUGAAAGCUCUUGGCUAAACUGGGAGAGGUUAAGUAAAACUGCGUUUCUAGAGUGGAUGAGAGGUAAGCAGAAUUCCUUGUGUAGUGGUGAAAUGCGUAGAUAUGAGGAAGAAUACCAGUGGCGAAGGCGGCUUACUGGCAUCCAACUGACGCUCAGACGCGAAAGCAUGGGUAGCGAACGGGAUUAGAUACCCCCGUAGUCC